rnacentral:rRNA from 1 species
UCCCAGACUCCUACGGGAGGCAGCAGUGGGGAAUAUUGGGCAAUGGGGGAAACCCUGACCCAGCGACGCCGCGUGAGGGAAGAAGGUUUUCGGAUUGUAAACCUCUGUCCUUGGUGACGAUAAUGACGGUAGCCAAGGAGGAAGCCACGGCUAACUACGUGCCAGCAGCCGCGGUAAUACGUAGGGGGCAAGCGUUAUCCGGAAUCACUGGGUGUAAAGGGAGCGUAGACGGCUGUGCAAGCCUGAAGUGAAAGGCGGGGGCCCAACCCCUGGACUGCUUUGGGAACUGUACGGCUGGAGUGCAGGAGAGGUAAGUGGAAUUCCUAGUGUAGCGGUGAAAUGCGUAGAUAUUAGGAGGAACACCAGUGGCGAAGGCGGCUUACUGGACUGUAACUGACGUUGAGGCUCGAAAGCGUGGGGAGCAAACAGGAUUAGAUACCCCUGUA